ensembl:lncRNA
UGGGUAUUGACGCCGACGUCUCCCAUUCCCUUUUCAUUUGUAGCGCAACAGCAGAGGACUACCGAAAAAUAUUUCGGACUAACUUUGAACGAAACCCACUAAAUUAACGUCUUAUGUGGCUACAUUUCUUAAGAAGUGUCGGUUUAAUUUCGACAUCGACGAUUUUGUUAGACUUUUUGUUUUUGGUUCAAGCGAAGUUAUUAGCAGUUGAAAGCAAAGCUCGCGAAUAGCCUAUUCUCGCUAUAGUAAUAGUCUAGCCGAUAUCUAAAUUGAAUAAUCUUAUUUUGUGGUUCAACUAUCAUUUAAAGCUGAUUUCAAGGAGAAUGUGUAUAGAUUUACUUGGAUUUUUUUCGUCCAGGACACGGAGCAGGCAUGGAAUUCUUAUUGCUGCAUGCGCUAGUCUGGAAAAUGAAAGUUCCCGCCUCCGUAUGCAGAGCGUGUGUCAUUGCUGUGACUGGAUCCGACACCACUACGGUCACUUGAGCGCAGAAUACCUUUCCCUGCUGGAUCAGAUGGUGAGUUAUCAGCACACUGUAAGAUGAGACUGAAUGCAUGUAUUAAGGACAGCAAAACAACCAACCAAGUAAAAUAGUCAUACGUUUCAUGUUUAGCAUCUGUGUUAGAAAACGGUCGGCCUAUAUUUGGAUAUACAUAGUAAAAGAGCGCUAAGGCUGUAAUGACAGCGAGAUCAAAUCAAAUCGAAACAAAUUUAUUUAUAUAGCCCUUCGUACAUCAGCUGAUAUCUCAAUGUGCUGUACAGAAACCCAGCCUAAAACCCCAAAUAGCAAGCAAUGCAGGUGUAGAAGCACUGUGGCUAGGAAAAACUCCCUCGAAAGGCCAAAACCUAGGAAGAAACCUAGAGAGGAACCAGGCUAUGAGGGGGGGCCAGUCUUCUUCUGUCUGUGCCGGGUGGAGAUUAUAACAGAACAUGGCCAAGAUGUUCAUAAAUGACCACCAUGGUCAAAUAAUAAUAAUCACAGUAGUUGUCGAGGGUGCAGCAAGUCAGCACCUCAGGAGUAAAUGUCCGUUGGCUUUUCAUAGCCGAUCAUUAAGGGUAUCUCUACCACUCCUGCUGUCUUUAGAGAGUUAAAAACAGCAGGUCUUGGACAGGUAGCACAUCCGGUGAACAGGUCAGGAUUCCAUAGCCGCAGGCAGAACAGUUGAAACUGGAGCAACAGCACGGCCAGGUGGACUGGGGACAGCAAGGAGUCAUCAUGCCAGGUAGUCCUGAGGCAUGGUCCUAGGGCUCAGGUCCUCCGAGAGAGAGAAAUAAAGAGAGAAUUAGAGAGAGCAUACUUAAAUUCACACAGGACACCAGAUAAGACAUGAUAUAGAUAUAACAAACUGACCCUAGCCCCCCGACACAUGAACUACGGCAGCAUAAAUACUGGAGGCUGAGACAGGAGGGGUAAGGAGACACUGUUGCCCCAUCCGAUGAUACCCCCGGACAGGGCCAAACAGGAAGGAUAUUUGACACGUGACUCAACAUACUAUAUUGAUUGUUUUCCAUGGAGGAGAUAUCACAAAGCAGAAUGCCCCAGUCUUUUCCCCAACGUCACUUUACAGACCCAUAGAUGAUGCCGAGGUAAAGGCUAGAAUCUUUACUAAUCAUGUUCUGAUAUGCUUUGGUAUUGCGUUCUUGACCCAAUGUUAUAUUGAUGCUUUGUAAGUAGGAAAACCUGCAAAAUCGGCAGUGUAUCAAAUACUUGUUCACCCCACUGUAUCUACCGCGGCUUUGAUUGGACUGAUCAAGUCAACAUCCAGCUUUCAAAAUCGUAGCUCGCAAGCUAGACAAGCAGUCAUCAUCAUGACUCACGUUGACAAUCUACUGUCAAAUCCUUUUCAUGCCUUGUCAUAUGAAGAGAUACUAUAGAUAAAACGUAUAAGUGCAAAUCGGCCAUUAGACAUGAACAUUACACAACAAGUUGGAAAUUGCAAAUUCAACAAUGAGAGGUUGAGAAGGAAUCUGGGGCUAAUUUCAAAUAACUACCCUGCUAUUCAGUAGAUUCGUGUGUGGUCCAAAUCUGGGUUUAAGGGUCUUAUUCCAAAAUUAAAAGGAUAAACUUUCAACACCAAAGGCCAGAAAAAGUUGAAUACAUUGGCCUUGCUGUCAAUCCAGCAUGACUUUUGCCAUGUUCAAAACAACUGGAAACUCGGAACUGGGAAAUCUCAGACUUCAGUGAGUUCAAACAACUAGGAAUUCUGGAGAAAAAAAAGAGCUCCGACAGGGAAAAUACGUUUUGAACCGUCAUCCAACUCAGAAUUCCAAGUCGGGAUCUUUAGAGUUCCGACCUGAAAAUGACUGACAUCAUGAUUCGACCAGUUGUUUUUUCUUGAGUUUCCAGUUGUCUUGGAAGCACCAUAAAUCACCAUAAAUCCAGAGAAUGCCAGACUUUGAUGCCAAAGUUUGAUGACAAGAUGUGCCCAAAAGAUGGACUGCAGCGCCUCCUUCCUGUUCACGUUAGCAUAGCACAACAAGUGACAUCUUGCCUGAUAAAUACCUAGAUGGUCUUUUUCGGGAGCAGUGCUUGCAAGAGAACGUGUACAUCAACAUUCAACAUUAAUUUGUUAUUUGAAGACACUCAUUAUCAACAGUUGAAUGCAGAUGAUAACUCUACCAUCGGAAACGUUUUCAUGGAGACACUACGUCGUUCUACAAAACGCUACUUGAGCAAAAUGAAGCAACUUCUAUAGAAAAAUGUUAAAAUAACACAGAAGCCUACAUUGAAUGGUUGUAUUUGAAUCACUUUUUCGUUGUUACAUUUACUCAAUCCAAAUUACUGUGGGGUUUCAUGGUUUCAGGACAACAGUACCUGGGAGGUUGUUCGAAAUGAAAUCGUGUGGAUAUUCAAGAACUUACAGAUUCUACUCGAGUCUAUGCACCAGAAAUGAGCAGAUGUAAUAUAUUUAUGUCAUGCCAUGACUGUAGGCUGCCGAAAUAAACCUGUUGAACCAUUUAACAUAAUUUGUAAUUAACUGACUGCACAAAUACAGUGAAAUUCAUCUCAAGUUUUAAAAUAAUCAUGAAUUAGUUGAUUGGCCAACAAUCUUGAACAAUCAAUGCCAUGAUCAGAUAGUUCAUUGUUACAUGGUAACCUAAUAUAAAGGCUUAACAUAAAAUCUGCAUAAUCAGAAACCUACACCUCCAAUUACACCUCGUUUAUUCAGAUUAAGAUAGCUGACGUUGCCACCGAUGUCUGUUCCUUUCUGUAUGUUUUCAGACAUCUAAAUUCCUGUAGAUUGUGAAAACAGUAUGUCACACACUGCGGUCGCACCUAAACGACUCUUAUCUGUACACACAGACUUAUGACUAAGUCACUUAAGAUUAGCCUGUAUCAGCAAAGUACUAACAUAUAACAAUGGACAAUUCUCUAAGUAAAAACAGCAUAGUAAGUCUAAUUAAACAGCACAGUAAAACCAUGAAUUUUACAUUUCCACCACAUAAUGACGCAGUAUAACAGUGGCGUACAGAACGGCAUUUCAUAAAUAACAAUUUGUGGCUCCUUGUCAUGGAUGGGCUAUUGCAACAGACGACCAAAAUGGGUUCUACUCCUACCAGUUAAAAGCAUGAAGUGGCUCUAGUGGGAAGGCAAUCACGAAAACUGGACAAUUGAGAAGUGGAAAAUGGUUGCUUUGUCCGAUGAAUCCCGGUUCUUUUUGCAUCAUGCUGAUGGCAGUCAGGAUUGGUGUACCUAAUUAACUGACCGCUGAGUGUAUUUUACAUGUUGAUUACUGUGAGGGUGGGGGCAUCUCUAAAUAUAAUGUCCAAAAGAAUAAAAUAAUAUUAUCAUUUUCUUAUUGCUUAAUAUGUCAUUAUUUGUUGUUGUUUUUAUAAAUAUUUUACCACUUUCCACAA